rnacentral:lncRNA from 1 species
UGGCUGUUCUUUGGGGCCAUGUGGCGAUCUCCUUAGGGGAUUGUCGCUGGUGUUGGGAGAUGGGUUGGGGGUGUGCAUGAUUGGAGAUGGGGCUGGUCGUUGGGGGGUGGGGAGGUGUUGCUGUUGGGACCCUUGUAAAGGGAACAGUGCUGGAGUCUCAGCAGAGGAUUUAUUUAUGUUCACUAAUAAUAAUCCUGGUGGAUGCUCCAUCCCUGACCCUUUUAAAAUCGAGAUCUAAAAGCUCUGCUGUGGGAAUGAUUUUGGGGAAGUUCCUGGCCUGUGUUGCCCAGGAGGUCAGACUCACUGGGUGAUCACAAUGGUCCCUUCUGGCCUUGGAAUCUAUGAAUAAGAAUGUAACUGCUCCAAAAAGAGCUCCAAGUGGUGCAUGAGUAACAUGUCAAAGAGGGACAUACCUGCCUUGGGGGAUUAUCGUGAGAAUUUUCAUACAUCCACAGCUGUGGGUUUAGAAAGCCCAUGAGCGCACAGUAGGCUAGCAUGAAAAGAGACAAGUGCCAUGGCGAUGGGGAGACAGACUGCAGGGCAGAGCUGGUCUUUGUCAACGGAGGCUGCAGUGACCCUGCUGAAGAUGAAGCUUCUCCCCCAGCUCUGGAAGCAAAUGGGAGGCCCAAUACACAAGAUGCUGUGGACCUACGAAUAGUGUCCACUAGGAGCAAGAAGAUCGGCAAGGAAGACGUCUCCAAGGAAGACCUAUCUUGGCCCAUGAAGCUCAGCAAGGCUCCGGAGAGCGCCUGGGGGAUUUGAGUGUGGUAUAGGAGAGGCAAGCCUUACAUUCCUUUACAAGGGUGCAUGGUCUUGUGAUCCAAGCGUGAGAUCGGAGCUCUAAUCCCAGCUCCGCCAUGGAUGGUGAGACCUUGAGCAAGUCCCUUCC